rnacentral:misc_RNA from 1 species
CACACAUGCCCCAUAUGGAUCCCCCACUUAGGUUUCGCAUUUUUCACUCCAGUUGGUCCCAAUUUCACCACUUUAAUCAAGCCCAUACAUCCAUGCCUCAUAUGUUGACCCCAUUUAGGCAUAGUCUUGUUAACCUCAAAUAGACUUAUUUCUUUUGCUCUAACUAAGCCCAUGCAACCACAGUUCUAGAGUUUCCCAUGUUUUUUCCACCAUUCUUGCCU